rnacentral:lncRNA from 1 species
UGACAUUAAAAUUGCAUAUAGGGCGUGUUUGGUUCGUUUCUUUUCCAUUCUGGAAUCAGAACCGAAAUGGGUGAAUCCGUUUGUAGGUGUUUGAUAUACGGGAGUCCCAUUCCGAUUCCGAUUCCCAAGUGGAAUGGGAAUCCCCCAAUCACCUCUUUUUUCAAUCCGGCCUAGGAGGCCGGAUUGAAAGUUGAAUUCGGACGAAAUAGAUAUUUAUUCGGAUUAAAUUUAUUUUUUCAAAUUUUUUUAUUAAAAUAUGAGUUAAAAUAUAAAAAAUUAAAUAUAUUAUUUUAAAUUUUAAUUUAAACUUAAAUUAAAAAUUAAAAUUUAAUCAAAUAUUUCCAAUCUAACUUAUAAUUUGAAUUUAAAUUAAAUUUUAAUUUAUAUAAAGUUUUAUUCAAAUUUUAUUUCAAACUUAAAUUAAAUUUAUGGAUUCAAAUUAAAAUUUAAAUUGUAAUUUUAAGUUUGAAUUUGAAUAAAUCAAAAUUUAGUUUCAUAUUUUGAAUUAUCCACUCAACUUCAAAGUUUAAUUUUUUUAAAAAAAACAUAGAUUUAAAAUUUUGAUAUUAUUUCAAAAUUUUGAUGUAAUUUUUUUAAUAUUUAAUAUUUAAUUUGAAAUUAAAUUAAUAUAUUAUAAAGAUAAUGUUAAUAUACUAAUUUGAUUACGUUUUUUAUAUCCAUUCGAACCAAACACCGACAAUAGGAAUGAUUUAUUCCGAUUCCGAUUCAGGUGAUGAACCAAACAGAAUUAGGUAAUAAGUCAUUCCGAUUCCGAUUCCAACUUAUUUUGAUUUCGAUUCUGAUUCCGACUCCGACUUCAAACCAAACACGCCCAUAGAGUGUAUUAUGCACAGUAAUAAAUUAGAAUAUUUCAUAUUCUUUCUAAUAAAUAUUGCAUUUUAUAAAUCACGACGAUAAAUUAUGAUAUAAUUUUUUUUUUCUAUAUACUCCAUUUGUUUCUAAUUCAUUU